GACGAACGCUGGCGGCGUGCCUAAUACAUGCAAGUCGAACGGUCUUUUCUAUGGAAGCUUGCUUCCACUGAGAAGAUAGUGGCGAACGGGUGAGUAACACGUGGGUAACCUGCCCAUAAGAGGGGGAUAACAUCCGGAAACGGGUGCUAAUACCGCAUAGGUUCCUUGGUCGCAUGAUCGAGAAAGGAAAGACGGCCUUUGUGCUGUCGCUGAUGGAUGGACCCGCGGCGUAUUAGUUAGUUGGUGAGGUAACGGCUCACCAAGACGAUGAUACGUAGCCGACCUGAGAGGGUGAUCGGCCACAUUGGGACUGAGACACGGCCCAAACUCCUACGGGAGGCAGCAGUAGGGAAUCUUCCGCAAUGGACGAAAGUCUGACGGAGCAACGCCGCGUGAGUGAAGAAGGUUUUCGGAUCGUAAAACUCUGUUGUCAGAGAAGAACAAGUCGGAGAGUAACUGCUCCGGCCUUGACGGUAUCUGACCAGAAAGCCACGGCUAACUACGUGCCAGCAGCCGCCGUAACAC
rnacentral:rRNA from 1 species